CCGAGCUUCCGGGAAACGGUCAAAAAGAGGACCAGACUCACGGGAUCGUCGUGGGAACCAACGAGGGAGCAGCCUUAAUGAGAGGUGAUUCGUAAGCUGCUGGGAACCUGAGACUGUCAAAGGGACGGCAGGAAAUGGACAGCAGUAUAAAAUCCAGAAGCAGAACUUGAAGGUUUAACCACUAGCCCAUUUCACAGAAUGUUUCAUACAUUUGUGGACCAAAAGAUGGAGUUGGUUUUAUUUUUAAAAAGAUAAUGUUAACGAUCUGAUACCACUACAAAUAUUCAUGUGAUGAAGAUGCAUGGACUUGUCUUUUGGUUGGACUACCACUCAUUUCUGAAAGUUUCUUCAGCCACAAUUUCUAUUUGAAAAUUCAAAUAACAAAGGAUAUCAGGUUUAGAAUGGUAUAAUGAUAUCUUUUGUCUGAGGACUGCAAAUUUCAUAGAGACCACAGUUGGAUUCCAGUGAUACUCUUCAAUCAAAGUGAUUUGAUAAACCUAAUUUUGAAGCAUUUUAUAUUUAUAAACAUCAAAAGAUGGGAGAAAAAAAUGGUGAUGCAAAAACUUUCUGGAUGGAGCUAGAAGAUGAUGGAAAAGUGGACUUCAUAUUUGAACAAGUACAGAAUGUGCUGCAGUCACUGAAACAAAAGAUCAAAAAUGGGUCUGCCACCAAUAAAGAAUAUAUCCAAGCAAUGAUUCUGGUGAAUGAAGCAACUAUAAGUAACAGUUCAACAUCAGUAAAGGGUAGGUACAUCUCUAUUCCCAAUCUAUAGUAUUCUCUGAUUUUUUUUUUUUUUUUUUUGCUGUGAAGCAGGAUAGCCUUAAUAUGUCAGGCUAAUUAAAGAUAAUUUAAAAUAAAAUCUAAGAUUCACAUUUCUAAGUUACAUAAAUCAGUUUCCUCUAUUAAAUGAAAAGUUCUGCCCAUCUAGAGAUAGUAAAUGCACACCCAGCUAAGCAUCCUAGGGAAAGAAUUAACAAAUGUGUGUUGUCUUUGGGAAAAAAAUGACUUUCUCAUAUAAAGAGGGCAAAUAGAAUUCUAACACUAUAUAUCCACUUUCUGUGAAGAACAGUAUUUGAAAGGUAUAUUCUCGUAUAAAUAAGUUGGUGGGUAAGUCUUUUAUUUCUAGAUUGCUUUUAGACCAUCAGUCUUCCAUGCUCUAACUAAAUCAGUUUAGAAGGAUCAAAGGUAAUGUACUAAAGAAAAACUGUUUCUCUUCUCACAAAACUUCUGAUACCAAAUGUGGGUUUUCCAUGCCACACAAUUCUCCAAUAUUCUGUGGACACCAAUGGAUGUUGUGUCCUAAAAUUUAAUUCAGUUCUGACACUAACUACUACCCAGAGUUAGCACAGAUCCCACGGAUUAAGGGCUCAGUCCCACCAACUUGCUCUCGCUUCAGGCAUUGGUCACAAUCCCUGAUCCUCCUGUGCUUCAGACUGACUUGGCUACAAAUCAGAGAUCCCUACAACCCCCUCCUCAGAUGCCAUGAUUUGCUAUAAUGGCUUAUAGAACUCACAGAAGCACCAGUUUAUUAUAAAGGAUGCUGUAAAGGAUACAAAUGAGUAGCCAGCUGAAGAGGUACACAGGCCAGAGUCUGAGUACAGGAGCUUCUGUCCCUGUGGAGUUUUGGGGUAUACCACCCUUCCAGUAUGUAGAUGCGUUCACCAACCUGAAAGGUCUCUGAACCCUGUUGUUCAGGGGUUUUAUGGAGGUCUCAUUACAUAGGCA
ensembl:lincRNA